rnacentral:rRNA from 1 species
CCUACGGGAGGCAGCAGUGGGGAAUUUUGGACAAUGGGCGAAAGCCUGAUCCAGCGACGCCGCGUGGAGGACGAAGGUCUUCGGAUUGUAAACUCCUUUUGCAGGGGACGAAAAAAAUGACGGUACUCUGCGAAUAAGCCACGGCUAACUACGUGCCAGCAGCCGCGGUAAUACGUAGGUGGCGAGCGUUACUCGGAAUCACUGGGUGUAAAGCGCGAGUAGGCGGUUAAUUAAGUCAGAUGUGAAAGCCCACGGCUCAACCGGGGAAGUGCAUCUGAAACUGGUAAGCUAGAGUGUGAGAGAGGGAUGCGGAAUUCCGGGUGUAGCGGUAAAAUGCGUAGAUAUCGGGAGGAACACCAGUGGCGAGGGCGGAAUCCGGGCUCAUAACUGACGCUGAGUCGCGAAAGCGGGGGGAUCAAACAGGAUUAGAUACCCCGGUAGU